rnacentral:rRNA from 1 species
UACAGAGGGGGCAAGCGUUAUUCGGAAUUAUUGGGCGUAAAGGGCGCGUAGGCGGCCAGGCAAGUGGAAGGUGAAAUCCCUCGGCUUAACCGAGGAACUGCCCUCCAAACUGCUUGGCUUGAGACCGGGAGAGGUGAGUGGAAUUCCCAGUGUAGCGGUGAAAUGCGUAGAUAUUGGGAGGAACACCGGUGGCGAAGGCGGCAUCCUGGACCGGCAUUGACGCUGAGGCGCGAAAGCCAGGGGAGCAAACGGG